AGAGAAUGGAAGAAAGAGAGAAAAAAUAGAGUGGAAGAGAGAAGAAGAGAGAGAGAGAAGAGAAAGAAAGUGGAGAGAAGAGGAAGAGAGGGAGAAAGGAAGAGAGAGGGAGAGAAAAGGAAGGAGGAGGAAGAGAGAGAGGAGAGAGACAGUAAGAAAGAGAGAGGGGGGAAGAGAAAUAUAGAGAGUGGGAGAGAGAGAGAAAAAAUAGAGUGGAAUAGAGAGAGGAAGAGAGACAGAAAAGAGGGUGAGAGAGUGAGGAAGAGAGAAAAAGAGAGAAGGAAGAAGAGAGACAGAAAAAAGAGAGAGAGAGGCAGGGGGAGAGAGGAAAAGAGAGAGGGAGAUAGAGGAAGAGAAACAAAGAGAGACAGAGAAAAAGAGAUGGAGAGAGAGAGAACGAGAGAGGGGUGGGAUAGAGGGAGAGAGAGAAAAAAAAAGAGAAAAAGAGGAGAGAGGGGGGGAAGACAGAGAAAAAAAGCGGAGAGAGGAAAAGAGAGAGAGGAGAGGGAGAAAGGAAGAGAGAUAUAGCACAUGGAAGAGAGAGAGGAAGAGAGAAUGUGUAUGAAGGAGGGAAGGAGAGAGAGAAGAGAGAUAGAAAAAAGAUAGUGGAAGAGGGAGAGUGAGGGAGAAAGAGAGAUUAGAGAGAGAGGAGAGUAAGAGAGACAGAAAGACACAGAGGAAGAAAGGAAGAGAAGGGAGGGAGAAGAGACAGAGAGAGACAUACACAGAGGGAGAGAAGAAGAGAGACAGAGGAAGAGAGAGGUAAAGAGAGGAAGAGAGAAAAAGAGAGAGGGGGAAGAGAGAGAGGAAGAAACACAGAGAAUGAGAGAGAGAAAGAAAGAGAGGAAGAAACAGAGAGAGAAGGAGAGAGAAAAAGAAAAGAAGAGAGGGAGGAAGAGAGAGAGAGA